UGUGAGCUCGAUGAGUAGGGCGGGACACGUGGUAUCCUGUCUGAAUAUGGGGGGACCAUCCUCCAAGGCUAAAUACUCCUGACUGACCGAUAGUGAACCAGUACCGUGAGGGAAAGGCGAAAAGAACCCCGGCGAGGGGAGUGAAAAAGAACCUGAAACCGUGUACGUACAAGCAGUGGGAGCCUCUUAAUGGGGUGACUGCGUACCUUUUGUAUAAUGGGUCAGCGACUUAUAUUCUGUAGCAAGGUUAACCGAAUAGGGGAGCCGAAGGGAAACCGAGUCUUAACUGGGCGUUAAGUUGCAGGGUAUAGACCCGAAACCCGGUGAUCUAGCCAUGGGCAGGUUGAAGGUUGGGUAACACUAACUGGAGGACCGAACCGACUAAUGUUGAAAAAUUAGCGGAUGACUUGUGGCUGGGGGUGAAAGGCCAAUCAAACCGGGAGAUAGCUGGUUCUCCCCGAAAGCUAUUUAGGUAGCGCCUCGUGAAUUCAUCUCCGGGGGUAGAGCACUGUUUCGGCAAGGGGGUCAUCCCGACUUACCAACCCGAUGCAAACUGCGAAUACCGGAGAAUGUUAUCACGGGAGACACACGGCGGGUGCUAACGUCCGUCGUGAAGAGGGAAACAACCCAGACCGCCAGCUAAGGUCCCAAAGUCAUGGUUAAGUGGGAAACGAUGUGGGAAGGCCCAGACAGCCAGGAUGUUGGCUUAGAAGCAGCCAUCAUUUAAAGAAAGCGUAAUAGCUCACUGGUCGAGUCGGCCUGCGCGGAAGAUGUAACGGGGCUAAACCAUGCACCGAAGCUGCGGCAGCGACACUAAGUGUUGUUGGGUAGGGGAGCGUUCUGUAAGCCUGUGAAGGUGUACUGUGAGGUAUGCUGGAGGUAUCAGAAGUGCGAAUGCUGACAUAAGUAACGAUAAAGCGGGUGAAAAGCCCGCUCGCCGGAAGACCAAGGGUUCCUGUCCAACGUUAAUCGGGGCAGGGUGAGUCGACCCCUAAGGCGAGGCCGAAAGGCGUAGUCGAUGGGAAACAGGUUAAUAUUCCUGUACUUGGUGUUACUGCGAAGGGGGGACGGAGAAGGCUAUGUUGGCCGGGCGACGGUUGUCCCGGUUUAAGCGUGUAGGCUGGUUUUCCAGGCAAAUCCGGAAAAUCAAGGCUGAGGCGUGAUGACGAGGCACUACGGUGCUGAAGCAACAAAUGCCCUGCUUCCAGGAAAAGCCUCUAAGCAUCAGGUAACAUCAAAUCGUACCCCAAACCGACACAGGUGGUCAGGUAGAGAAUACCAAGGCGCUUGAGAGAACUCGGGUGAAGGAACUAGGCAAAAUGGUGCCGUAACUUCGGGAGAAGGCACGCUGAUAUGUAGGUGAAGUCCCUCGCGGAUGGAGCUGAAAUCAGUCGAAGAUACCAGCUGGCUGCAACUGUUUAUUAAAAACACAGCACUGUGCAAACACGAAAGUGGACGUAUACGGUGUGACGCCUGCCCGGUGCCGGAAGGUUAAUUGAUGGGGUCAGCGCAAGCGAAGCUCUUGAUCGAAGCCCCGGUAAACGGCGGCCGUAACUAUAACGGUCCUAAGGUAGCGAAAUUCCUUGUCGGGUAAGUUCCGACCUGCACGAAUGGCGUAAUGAUGGCCAGGCUGUCUCCACCCGAGACUCAGUGAAAUUGAACUCGCUGUGAAGAUGCAGUGUACCCGCGGCAAGACGGAAAGACCCCGUGAACCUUUACUAUAGCUUGACACUGAACAUUGAGCCUUGAUGUGUAGGAUAGGUGGGAGGCUUUGAAGUGUGGACGCCAGUCUGCAUGGAGCCGGCCUUGAAAUACCACCCUUUAAUGUUUGAUGUUCUAACGUUGGCCCCUGAUCGGGGUUGCGGACAGUGUCUGGUGGGUAGUUUGACUGGGGCGGUCUCCUCCUAAAGAGUAACGGAGGAGCACGAAGGUUGGCUAAUCCUGGUCGGACAUCAGGAGGUUAGUGCAAUGGCAUAAGCCAGCUUGACUGCGAGCGUGACGGCGCGAGCAGGUGCGAAAGCAGGUCAUAGUGAUCCGGUGGUUCUGAAUGGAAGGGCCAUCGCUCAACGGAUAAAAGGUACUCCGGGGAUAACAGGCUGAUACCGCCCAAGAGUUCAUAUCGACGGCGGUGUUUGGCACCUCGAUGUCGGCUCAUCACAUCCUGGGGCUGAAGUAGGUCCCAAGGGUAUGGCUGUUCGCCAUUUAAAGUGGUACGCGAGCUGGGUUUAGAACGUCGUGAGACAGUUCGGUCCCUAUCUGCCGUGGGCGCUGGAGAACUGAGGGGGGCUGCUCCUAGUACGAGAGGACCGGAGUGGACGCAUCACUGGUGUUCGGGUUGUCAUGCCAAUGGCACUGCCCGGUAGCUAAAUGCGGAAGAGAUAAGUGCUGAAAGCAUCUAAGCACGAAACUUGCCCCGAGAUGAGUUCUCCCUGACCCUUUAAGGGUCCUGAAGGAACGUUGAAGACGACGACGUUGAUAGGCCGGGUGUGUAAGCGCAGCGAUGCGUUGAGCUAACCGGUACUAAUGAACCGUGAGGCUUAACCUUACAACGCCGAAG
rnacentral:rRNA from 1 species